CUGAGGGCAAACAGGCAGAUGGCCAGCACAAGGUGCAGGAGCUGAGGCCGGGAGACCAGUUAGAAGGAUGCUGAAAUGGUCCAGGUGAGAGGUGGUGGUAGCUGGGACCAGCUUGAUGGUGAUGGUGAGAAAUGGCAGGAUUCCAGAGACCUCAGCGGACUGGAUAUAGGGCGUGGGGGAGAGGGAAUCAUCCUGAGAUGGACACUAAGAUGGAGAAGAUUCUGGGAGGAGCAGGUUGUCGGGGAGGGAUCAAGAGUCAUGGUUCUGUUUUGGACAUAGGAAGUUUGAGAUACCCAUUAGUGAAAGUCCUGGUGGGGAAAUGUUGAAAAGGCAGCUGGAUACCCGUGAAAAGAGGAAGAGGCUUCAGAUACAAAUGCAAGCUAUCAGACUAUAGAUAGGGUUUUGCCAUGAAACUGGGUGACUUUGCCUGGGGGCAUAUGCCCCACGGGAGUUACAUGGCUUUCCAUGAGCCAACGACAUUGGGGUGGGGAACCCUGACAUUCACUGAUUAGUCAAGACUGGGUUUUGUGCCUAAUCAGGAAAAUAGAGUGUGGGGAUCUUGUUCACCCAAAUUUCCUGUCCUGAGAAUUGGGGAGGGGUGGUUUCCUAAAGAAAAUUCAGGGUGUUUAGCCAGGUGUGGUGGCUCGUGCCUGUAGUUCCAGCUACUCAGGAGGCUGAGGUGGGAGGAUCGUUUGAGCCUGGGAGGCAGAGAUUACAGUGAGCCAAGAUUGUGCCACUGCAUUCCAGCCUGGGCAACAGAGACCCUGUCUCAAAAAAAAAAAAAAAGGAAAGAAAAUUCAGGGUGCUGUUACCAAAAGGGGACCUGUUUGCUAGCAGCAAAAACAAAAGCAAACAACAGCAACAAAAAACCAAACAGCAUCUGCCUGCUAAGGCCUCCUCUCACUCAUCUCACACACUAUCAUGGAGCACCUAUUCUCUAUGAAGUUAAUAUUAGCUGAGCACCUACUAUGUGCCACGUUCUAUGCUUUUCUCUCACUUUUCCAGCCUCCUUUCUUUCUGAGAGAACUAGCCCUCUUGGGGGGCCAGGGCAUGCCUAAGGGUCCUCCUGCUUCAGCUUUUGUCUCACUGGUACCUCAGUUUCCCUUUAAUAUGAGAGCUAAAUGCUCAUCCCAUUGAUGAGGAUGGGGCAGGACAGGAGAUGGGGGGGGCACUUCUCACCACUGAGAAAGGUAGAGCAGGCUCUGGCUGACUCCAAAGCCCACACUCUAACCCUCUCAAGUCUAGGCUCCAAGUCUGUGC
rnacentral:lncRNA from 10 species